GAUGAACGCUGGCGGCGUGCCUAAUACAUGCAAGUCGAGCGAACGGACGAGAAGCUUGCUUCUCUGAUGUUAGCGGCGGACGGGUGAGUAACACGUGGAUAACCUACCUAUAAGACUGGGAUAACUUCGGGAAACCGGAGCUAAUACCGGAUAAUAUUUUGAACCGCAUGGUUCAAAAGUGAAAGACGGUCUUGCUGUCACUUAUAGAUGGAUCCGCGCUGCAUUAGCUAGUUGGUAAGGUAACGGCUUACCAAGGCAACGAUGCAUAGCCGACCUGAGAGGGUGAUCGGCCACACUGGAACGUGGACACCGUCCAGACUCCUACGGGAGGCAGCAGUAGGCAAUCUGCCGCAAUGGUCGAAAGCCUUACGGAGCAACGCCGCGUGAGUUAUGAAGGUCUUCGGAUCGUAAAACUCUGUUAUUAGGUAAGAACAUAUUUGUAAGUAACUGUGCACAUCUUGACGGUACCUAAUCAGAAAGCCACGGCUAACUACGUG
rnacentral:rRNA from 1 species